rnacentral:rRNA from 1 species
CCCGCUACAGAAACUUAAAGGAAGUUGACGGGGCCCGCACAAGCGGAGGAGCAUGUGGUUUAAUUCGAUGAUACGCGAGGAACCUUACCUGGGCUCGAACGUAAGAUGACUGUAGGUGAAAGCUUACAUCUCUUCGGAGCAUUUUACGAGGUGCUGCAUGGUUGUCGUCAGCUCGUGCCGUGAGGUGUCGGGUUAAGUCCCAUAACGAGCGCAACCCCUACCUUUAGUUGCCAUCAGGUAAUGCUGGGGACUCUAAAGGAACUGCCUACGCAAGUAGUGAGGAAGCGGGGAUGACGUCAAAUCAGCACGGCCCUUACGUCCAGGGCUACACACGUGCUACAAUGGCCGAUACAGAGGGCAGCUACCUGGUGACAGGAUGCAAAUCUCCAAAGUCGGUCUCAGUUCGGAUCGGAGUCUGCAACCCGACUCCGUGAAGUUGGAUUCGCUAGUAAUCGUGAAUCAGAAUGUCACGGUGAAUACGUUCCCGGGCCUU